UACGGGGGGGGUAAGCGUUGUUCGGAAUUACUGGGCGUAAAGGGCUCGUAGGCGGCCAACUAAGUCAUACGUGAAAUCCCUCAGCUUAACUGGGGAACUGCGUGUGAUACUGGAUGGCUUGGAUUUGGGAGAGGGAUGCGGAAUUCCAGGUGUAGCGGUGAAAUGCGUAGAUAUUGGGAGGAACACCAGUGGCGAAGGCGGCUGACUGGACCGGUACUGACGCUGAGGCGCGAAAGCGUGGGGAGCAAACGGG
rnacentral:rRNA from 1 species